CGUAACAAGGUUUCCGUAGGUGAACCUGCGGAAGGAUCAUUACCUAGAGUUGUAGGCUUUGCCUGCUAUCACUUACCCAUGUCUUUUGAGUACCUUCGUUUCCUCGGCGGGUCCGCCCGCCGAUUGGACAAUUUAAACCAUUUGCAGUUGCAAUCAGCGUCUGAAAAAACUUAAUAGUUACAACUUUCAACAACGGAUCUCUUGGUUCCGGCAUCGAUGAAGAACGCAGCGAAAUGCGAUAAGUAGUGUGAAUUGCAGAAUUCAGUGAAUCAUCGAAUCUUUGAACGCACAUUGCGCCCCUUGGUAUUCCAUGGGGCAUGCCUGUUCGAGCGUCAUUUGUACCUUCAAGCUCUGCUUGGUGUUGGGUGUUUGUCUCGCCUCUGCGCGCAGACUCGCCUCAAAACAAUUGGCAGCCGGCGUAUUGAUUUCGGAGCGCAGUACAUCUCGCGCUUUGCACUCAUAACGACGACGUCCAAAAGUACAUUUUUACACUCUUGACCUCGGAUCAGGUAGGGAUACCCGCUGAACUUAAGCAUAUC
rnacentral:rRNA from 1 species